UACGGGGGGUGCAAGCGUUGUUCGGAAUCAUUGGGCGUAAAGAGCGUGUAGGCGGCUGAGCAAGUCAGAUGUGAAAUCCCUGGGCUUAACCCAGGAAGUGCAUUUGAAACUGUUCAGCUUGAGUAAGGAAGAGGGAAGUGGAAUUCCUGGUGUAGAGGUGAAAUUCGUAGAUAUCAGGAGGAACACCGGUGGCGAAGGCGACUUCCUGGUCCUAUACUGACGCUGAGACGCGAGAGCGUGGGGAGCAAACAGGAUGAGAUACCCUGGUAGUCCACGCCGUAAACGAUGUUCACUAGGUGUUGAGGGUAUUGACCCCUUCAGUGCCGAAGCUAACGCAUUAAGUGAACCGCCUGGGGAGUACGGUCGCAAGAUUAAA
rnacentral:rRNA from 1 species